UUGUGUCCUUGAGUAAGACACUUAACUCCAGGUUGCUCCGGGGGGAUUGUCCCUGUAAUAAGUGCUCUGUAUAAUACAUUGGUAAUCAGAAGGUUGCUGGUUCGAUCCCCACAGUCACCACCAUUGUGUCCUUGAGUAAGGCACUUAACUCCAGGUUGCUCCGGGGGGAUUGUCCCUGUAAUAAGUGCUCUGUAUAAUACAUUGGUACUCAGAAGGUUGCUGGUUUGAUCCCCACAGCCACCACCAUUGUGUCCUUGAGUAAGACACUUAACUCCAGGUUGCUCCGGGGGGAUUGUCCCUGUAAUAAGUGCUCUGUAUAAUACAUUGGUACUCAGAAGGUUGCUGGUUUGAUCCCCACAGUCACCACCAUUGUGUCCUUGAGUAAGGCACUUAACUCCAGGUUGCUCCGGGGGGAUUGUCCCUGUAAUAAGUGCACUGUAUAAUACAUUGGUAAUCAGAAGGUUGCUGGUUUGAUCCCCACAGUCACCACCAUUGUGUCCUUGAGUAAGGCACUUAACUCCAGGUUGCUCCGG